UAUGACAGCUGGCUCACCUUCAGCCCCGAUCCGCUGCCUUAAUUAUUUGAGCAGUAUGUUGAUUAUGCUCUUGAUGUUCCCAUGUACUUUGCUCCAAGUCAGUUAUUCACUUAUUUGAUUCAAAUCGUUCGAUGGCUAGAGCGAAGAAGGUAGCUGCUCGGCCUCAUCCAACCGCUUCGGGACUUUGAAUUCAUAAUCUGCAAUUUGCAGUUUUGCACAUAUUGUAUUAUUGUCCAUCUUCACUAGUUCAUUU
rnacentral:lncRNA from 1 species